rnacentral:lncRNA from 1 species
UUUGUAUCGUGGGAGGUGGCGUUAUGCCACUUGCAAUAUUUCAUCUUCUUCAGCUGUUCGGCCGACGGGAUUGUAUGAUAUGGCGAAAGCUUGAUCUGUUCUUCUUGGAGAAGAAGAUCGAAAAUUUUAUCAGCCUUUGAUGUGUCAAAUCCGAAUGUUUCCGGCUCCUUUUUCCCGAACGGACACGAUAUCGGCUUUUUUCUUUUAACCCACUCCGCCAGGCCGAUCUCUGUUUCUU